rnacentral:misc_RNA from 1 species
AUACAAUGGUUUAUUGGCUGAAGGUUCCCUUUUCCACCUCCACAACCUUGAUUCAACUACUUUUAAAAGGAAUACUAUAAAAUUACUACAAAUGCACAAGAAGUAAUCUGCAUAAUCUAUAUGUUUGUUGUUAGACAGAGUCCGAUGAUUCAAGUCGACUACCCUCCCUAGCAAUUUGAAUCUAUAGAUCAGAUCACAAAUAUACAUGAAUCAGUUUCAAAAUGAAUGAAUCGGUAGCAAAUCAAUGCAAAUUGACUGAUCCACCCAAUUCAUUCCCAAUCGCAUUUUUAAG